rnacentral:rRNA from 1 species
AACGUAGGAGACAAACGUUAUCCGGAGUUACUGGGCGUAAAGGGCGUGUAGGCGGUUUGUUAAGUCUGGCGUGAAAGCUCUCGGCUAAACCGGGAGAGGUCGUUGGAUACUGGCAAACUAGAGGACGGUAGAGGCGUGUGGAACUCCGAGUGUAGAGGUGAAAUUCGUAGAUAUUCGGAAGAACACCAGUGGCGAAGGCGGCUCACUGGUCCGGUACUGACGCUGAGGUGCGAAAGCGUGGGGAGCAAACAGG